GAUGAACGCUAGCGGCAGGCUUAACACAUGCAAGUCGAGGGGCAGCACGUCUUCGGAUGGUGGCGACCGGCGCACGGGUGAGUAACGCGUAUGCAAUCUACCUUUUACAGGGGCAUAGCCCGGGGAAACCCGGAUUAAUAUCCUAUAGUACCAUUAUAUAGCAUUAUAUUAUGGUUAAAGUUUCGGCGGUAAAAGAUGAGCAUGCGUCCUAUUAGCUUGAUGGUAAGGUAACGGCUUACCAUGGCUAUGAUAGGUAGGGGUCCUGAGAGGGAGACCCCCCACACUGGUACUGAGACACGGACCAGACUCCUACGGGAGGCAGCAGUGAGGAAUAUUGGACAAUGGGCGCAAGCCUGAUCCAGCCAUGCCGCGUGCAGGAAGACGGCCCUAUGGGUUGUAAACUGCUUUUAUACGGGAAGAAACACCCCUUCAUGAAGGGACUUGACGGUACCGUAUGAAUAAGGAUCGGCUAACUCCGUGCCAGCAGCCGCGGUAAUACGGAGGA
rnacentral:rRNA from 1 species